rnacentral:rRNA from 1 species
GACGAACGCUGGCGGCGUGCUUAACACAUGCAAGUCGAACGGAAAGGCCCUGCUUUUGUGGGGUGCUCGAGUGGCGAACGGGUGAGUAACACGUGAGUAACCUGCCCUUGACUUUGGGAUAACUUCAGGAAACUGGGGUUAAUCCCGGAUAGCAGCUCCUGCUGCAUGGUGGGGGUUGGAAAGUUUCGGCGGUCGCGGAUGGACUCGCGGCUUACCAGUUUGUUGGUGGGGUAGUGGCUUACCAAGGCUUUGACGGGUAGCCGGCCUGAGAGGGUGACCGGCCACAUUGGGACUGAGAUACGGCCCAGACUCCUACGGGAGGCAGCAGGGGGGAAUAUUGCACAAUGGGCGGAAGCCUGAUGCAGCAACGCCGCGGGCGUGAUGACGGCCUUCGGGGUGUAAACCGCUUUCGCUUGUGACGAAGCGUGAGUGACGGUAAUGGGUAAAGAAGCACCGACUAACUACGUG